GAUGAACGCUGGCGGCGUGCCUAAUACAUGCAAGUCGAGCGAACGGACGAGAAGCUUGCUUUUCUGAUGUUAGCGGCGGACGGGUGAGUAACACGUGGAUAACCUACCUAUAAGACUGGGAUAACUUCGGGAAACCGGUGCUAAUACCGGAUAAUAUUUUGAACCGCAUGGUUCAAAAGUGAAAGACGGUCUUGCUGUCACUUAUAGAUGGCUCCGCGCUGCUUUAGCUAGUUGGUAAGGUAACGGCUUACCAAGGCAACGAUGCAUAGCCGACCUGAGAGGGUGAUCGGCGACACUGGAACUGAGACACGGUCCAGACUCCUACGGGAGGCAGCAGUAGGGAAUCUUGCGCAAUGGGCGAAAGCCUGACGGAGCAACGCCGCGUGAGUGCUGAAGGUCUUCGGAUCGUAUAACUGUGUUAUGAGGGAAGAACACAUGUGUAAGGAACUGUGCACAUCGUGACGGUACCUAAUCAGAAAGCAACGGCUAACUACGUG
rnacentral:rRNA from 1 species